rnacentral:rRNA from 1 species
AUUGAACGCUGGCGGCAGGCCUAACACAUGCCAGUCGAGCGGAUGAAGGGAGCUUGCUCCUGGAUUCAGCGGCGGACGGGUGAGUAAUGCCUAGGAAUCUGCCUGGUAGUGGGGGAUAACGUCCGGAAACGGGCGCUAAUACCGCAUACGUCCUGAGGGAGAAAGUGGGGGAUCUUCGGGCCUCACGCUAUCAGAUGAGCCUAGGUCGGAUUAGCUAGUUGGUGGGGUAAAGGCCUACCAAGGCGACGAUCCGUAACUGGUCUGAGAGGAUGAUCAGUCACACUGGAACUGAGGCACGGUCCAGACUCCUACGGGAGGCAGCAGUGGGGAAUAUUGGACAAUGGGCGAAAGCCUGAUCCAGCCAUGCCGCGUGUGUGAAGAAGGUCUUCGGAUUGUAAAGCACUUUAAGUUGGGAGGAAGGGCAGUAAGUUAAUACCUUGCUGUUUUGACGUUACCAACAGAAUAAGCACCGGCUAACUUCGUG